rnacentral:rRNA from 1 species
AUUGAACGCUGGCGGCAGGCCUAACACAUGCAAGUCGAACGAGUGGCGGACGGGUGAGUAAUGUCUGGGAAACUGCCUGAUGGAGGGGGAUAAAUACUGGAAACGGUAGCUAAUACCGCAUACCAUCGGAUGUGCCCAGAUGGGAUUAGCUAGUAGGUGGGGUAACGGCUCACCUAGGCGACGAUCCCUAGCUGGUCUGAGAGGAUGACCAGCCACACGGGACCUGAGACACGGUCCAGACUCCUACGGGAGGCAGCAGUGGGGAAUAUUGCCCAAUGGGCGCAAGCCGGCUGAAGCCAGGCCGCGUGUAGGAAGCAGGCCUUCGGGUGGUAAAGUACUUUCAGCGGGGAGGCGUUACCCGAAGAAGAAGCACCGGCUAACUCCGUGCCAGCAGCCGCGGUAAUAC